AGCGAACGCUGGCGGCAGGCCUAACACAUGCAAGUCGAACGAACCCUUCGGGGUUAGUGGCUGACGGGCGAGUAACACGUGGGAACGUGCCUUUAGGUUCGGAAUAACUUCGGGACACUUGUUCUAAUAACUGAUGUUCCCUUCGGGGGAAAGAUUUAUCGCCUUUAGAGCGGCCCGCGUCUGAUUAGCUAGUUGGUGAGGUAAUGGCUCACCAAGGCUACGAUCAGUAGCUGGUCUGAGAGGAUGACCAGCCAAAUUGGGACUGAGACACGGCCCAAACUCCUACGGGAGGCAGCAGUGGGGAAUCUUGCGCAAUGGGCGAAAGCCUGACGCAGCCAUGCCGCGUGGAUGAUGAAGGUCUUAGGAUUGUAAAAUCCUUUCACCGGUGAAGAUAAUGACUGUAGCCGGAGAAGAAGCCCCGGCUAACAUCGUGCCAGCCGCCGCUGUAACAC
rnacentral:rRNA from 1 species